GACUCCUCCCGGAAGUCGCGCUGCUGUUGAGUGUGCUGGUGCCCUUCUGGCUGCUGGCUUUGGGUCAGAGCAGGUGGUAGCGAUGGUGGUGGUGGAAGCUGAGCCUAGGAAGCUUGAGAAUGGCUCGCCGAAGCAAUAGAGGUCGUAGGCUGUUGAUUACCUACAUACUCUGGCUCUAAUUCUGGUAAAAUAAAAAAAAAGCAACGAGCUUAACUUCUUAAUUGGUUAAUUGGAAGGAUUCCCCGAUCUAAUUAGACGUUAAAAAUAGAUUAGUGCCUAAUGUGGGGAAAGGUUAGGUUUUCCUAUGAAUGGACCCUUUACUUUUUUUUUUAGAAAUCCUAAUUAUUCUUGAUUAUGGAUUGAAAAGAGAUGGGACAUAAGGAGAAUUGCAUGAGGCAGUAUGUAGGACCUGCUUCGGCUGAUUCUAUCGUGCCUCAGCUUCAGCUAUCUCCUUUUGCUUUUGAAUUGUGACUUGGAAUGUUCUUGUGGUGUGGCCCUUGUCUUCACCGCAAAAUAAGCAGUAUAGUCUUCUAGGCUGCUCUCUGUAUCUUCCUCCGAAGUUUCUGUCGCCUCUACCCCUUAGGGCUGGUGGCCUAAAGGAGCUUUGUUAUGGCCCUGAAGACUGGGAGCUAUGUUGCUGCCUUUGAGAUUGACCUCCUUUGUCAUCACUUGGGUUGGAAUUAUGAAUUGA
rnacentral:lncRNA from 1 species